ACACCUUGAAAAGGAGGUGUCAGAAAC
rnacentral:piRNA from 1 species